rnacentral:snRNA from 1 species
AGCACCCCAAUAACAAAAUC